UUUUAGCCCCGGUUGAAGUGGAAAUCCUUAUGGUCCGGGGUUCGGAACAUAAGAUUAUAACGGAAAACGGGACGAUGC
rnacentral:sRNA from 1 species